rnacentral:rRNA from 1 species
CCUACGGGGGACAGCAGUGAGGAAUAUUGGUCAAUGGGCUUACGCCUGAACCAGCCAAGUCGCGUGAGGGAAGACUGCCCUAUGGGUUGUAAACCUCUUUUGUCAGGGAGCAACGCCUGCUACGUGUAGCCGGACUGAGAGUACCUGAAGAAAAAGCAUCGGUUAACGCCGUGCCAGCAGCCGCGGUAAUACGGGGGAUGCGAGCGUUAUCCGGAUUUAUUGGGUUAAAAGGGUGCGUAGGCGGAAUGCCAAGUCAGCGGUAACAUCGCGGGGCUCAACCUCGCUCCGCCGUUGAAACUGGCGUUAUUGAGUGGGCGAGAAGUAUGCGGAAUGCGUGGUGUAGCGGUGAAAUGCAUAGAUAUCACGCAGAACUCCGAUUGCGAAGGCAGCAUGCCGGCGCCCAACUGACGCUGAAGCACGAAAGCGUGGGUAUCGAACAGGAUUAGAUACCCCAGUAGUC